rnacentral:rRNA from 1 species
UACGAAGGGGGCUAGCGUUGAUCGGAAUUACUGGGCGUAAAGCGCGUGUAGGCGGGCCGUUAAGUCGGGGGUGAAAGCCCAGAGCUCAACUCUGGAACUGCAUUCGAUACUGGUGGGCUUGAGCAUGAUAGAGGCGAGUGGAAUUGCGAGUGUAGAGGUGAAAUUCGUAGAUAUUCGCAGGAACACCAGUGGCGAAGGCGACUCGCUGGAUCAUUGCUGACGAUGAGACGCGAAAGCGUGGGGAGCAAACAGG